rnacentral:rRNA from 1 species
CCUACGUGAGGCAGCAGUGAGGAAUAUUGGUCAAUGGGCGCGAGCCUGAACCAGCCAAGUCGCGUGAGGGAAGACGGUCCUAUGGAUUGUAAACCUCUUUUGUCGGGGAGCAAAAGACGCCACGCGUGCCGUUCCGAGAGUACCCGAUGAAAAAGCAUCGGCUAACUCCGUGCCAGCAGCCGCGGUAAUACGGAGGAUCCGAGCGUUAUCCGGAUUUAUUGGGUUUAAAGGGUGCGCAGGGGGAAGAUAAAGUCAGCGGUAAAAUUGUGAGGCUAAACCGCUUAGUGCAAUUGAUACUGGUUUCCUUGAGUAAGGGAGAAGUAUGCGGAAUGCGUGGUGUAGCGGUGAAAUGCUUAGAUAUCACGAAGAACUCCGAUUGCGAAGGCAGCCUACCAGCGCGCAACUGACGCUCAUGCACGAAAGUGUGGGUAUCGAACAGGAUUAGAUACCCGAGUAGUC